UACGUAGGGGGCAAGCGUUGUCCGGAAUCAUUGGGCGUAAAGAGCGCGUAGGCGGUCCGGUAAGUCCGCUCUGAAAGUCCGGGGCUCAACCCCGGGAGGCGGGCGGAUACUGUCGGGCUAGAGUCCGGAAGAGGCGAGUGGAAUUCCUGGUGUAGCGGUGAAAUGCGCAGAUAUCAGGAGGAACACCAAUGGCGAAGGCGGUUCUCUGGGCCUUACCUGACGCUGAGGAGCGAAAGCGUGGGGAGCGAACAGG
rnacentral:rRNA from 1 species